UGGGAUCAUUCUGGGAUGCAGCGAGGCCC
rnacentral:piRNA from 1 species